rnacentral:tRNA from 1 species
GGAGGGGUACUCAAGUGGUUUAAGAGGCUCGCUUGGAAAGCGCGUAGAUCUGAAAAGAUGCGAGGGUUCGAAUCCCUUCUCCUCCG